UGGGGAAUUUUGCGCAAUGGGCGAAAGCCUGACGCAGCAACGCCGCGUGGGUGAUGAAGGUCUUCGGAUCGUAAAACCCUGUCGUCAGGGACGAAGGUUCUGGGGUGAACAGCCACAGGAUUUGACGGUACCUGGAGAGGAAGCCCCGGCUAACUCUGUGCCAGCAGCCGCGGUAAUACAGAGGGGGCAAGCGUUAUUCGGAAUUAGUGGGCGUAAAGGGCGCGUAGGCGGUGUCUUAAGUGGGAUGUGCAAUCCCCGUGCUUAACCUGGGAACUGCAUCACAGACUGGGGCGCUUGAGUACUGGAGAGGGUGGUGGAAUUCCACGUGUAGCGGUGAAAUGCGUAGAGAUGUGGAGUAACACCAGUGGCGAAGGCGGCCACCUGGACAGUAACUGACGCUGAGGCGCGAAAGUGUGGGUAGCAAACA
rnacentral:rRNA from 1 species